rnacentral:rRNA from 1 species
CCUACGGGUGGCUGCCGUGAGGGAUAUUGGACAAUGGGGGAAACCCUGAACCCGCAACGCCGCGUGAGGGAAGACGGUUUUCGGAUUGUACACCUCUGUCCUCUGUGAAGCUAAUGACGGUAGCAGAGGAGGAAGCUCCGGCUAACUACGUGCCAGCAGACGCGGUAAUACGUAGGGGGCGAGCGUUAUCCGGAUUCACUGUGUGUAAAGGGAGCGUAGACGGCCAUGCAAGCCAGGUGUGAAAGCCCGGGGCCCAACCCCGGGACUGCCCUUGGAACUGCAUGGCUGGAGUGCGGGAGGGGCAGGCGGAAUGCCUGGGGUAGCGGUGAAAUGCGUAGAUAUCAGGAGGAACACCGGCGGCGAAGGCGGCCUGCUGGACCGCGACUGACGUUGAGGCGCGAAAGCGUGGGGAGCGAACAGGAUUAGAUACCCGUGUAGUC